UGCAGCACAUAUGGCCAGUGGCCCUGCUGCAUAAGUAUUAGCUAUUCCUUGUCCUUCCCUCGAGCAUGCCUUACAUAAGCACAACCUACUGGUUAGUAAUCACUUCUACCACUAGAGGAGUUUACCAUCACUGAACAUGCUAACCACCAGCACUACCAAAACAUCGGAGUGAGAGGCAUGUCCUAUCCACAGUCUAGUGCUAGAGAUUGAACCCAGGGCCUCACACCUGCUAGGUGCACAUUCCUUCCCCACUGGUAGUGCGGACACUCCAAGGGUCCUAGGUGGAAAAGCAAGGAACCAGGGAAGAUGUCCAGUGGAGGACUGCAGCACAGAAGAACCAUGAAGGUCCUCCUCUUCAUCAGCAAGAGCUCUAGAUCACUUCUCGGCCUUUUGGGUAAGAUCAAGUGUAGCAAGAGCUCUAGAAUAAUUGUCAGCACGGGGCAUUGAUCUGCUGGGGUCCUGAACUACUGAGACCAGGCUUGGGUCAGCCCAGCUGGACUCUGGACAGAAUCCAGAACCAGCACAGGGAGCACAAAGCAGGGAACCAGAGCGAGGCCCCUUCCCCUCAUUCACUCUAUGCCACACUUUGAACACUCCACCUUGUUAAAUCCCACAGGACACUACAAUAAGCAGAACCACUGCUAACAAGACUUGCAUGCCUUCUUAUCCUGUCUGAAAUCACUCUUAACACUAUCAUGUGCAACUACUAUUUUUUGCUAUCUCAUGCGUAAGUUAAUCUUGGUAACAAAACCAAAGGUCUUAUAUCUUCAGUUUCUUUGUUACCUUACCAGAUCCUAGCCCAAAAGAGGACACUUACACAUUCAAUUACUCAUCUUGCCUCAGCCUAUAUAUUGAGCUUAUACCUUCUUCAAAUCCAAGAAAACAUAAAGGCCCUUGCCAGUAACUGUGAAAACUAAUUGCUCCAGUUGUGGGUGACUUUAGAGUCAGACUUCUGUGCUCCAAUUCUGAAUCAAUCACUUUUGUCAUAAACUUCUCCAAGCCUCAGCUUCCUUAGCUGUAAAACUGGGGCAAACCAAUGGGGUUGUUAUAAAAUCUAAAAUAGAUACUAUAUUUCAGAAUUAGCCCUCAAUCAAAUAAGCCUUUAAAAAGAUAAGAAACACAAAGAGCUACCCAUCACAGAUUAUAAAGUGAGUAAGAAAUAAAAUGUUGUAA